AGCGGCGGACGGGUGAGUAACACGUGGGCAACCUGCCUCAUAGAGGGGAAUAGCCUUCCGAAAGGGAGAUUAAUACCGCAUAAGAUUGUAGUACCGCAUGGUACAGCAAUUAAAGGAGCAAUCCGCUAUGAGAUGGGCCCGCGGCGCAUUAGCUAGUUGGUGAGGUAACGGCUCACCAAGGCGACGAUGCGUAGCCGACCUGAGAGGGUGAUCGGCCACAUUGGGACUGAGACACGGCCCAGACUCCUACGGGAGGCAGCAGUGGGGAAUAUUGCACAAUGGGGGAAACCCUGAUGCAGCAACGCCGCGUGAGUGAUGACGGCCUUCGGGUUGUGAAGCUCUGUCUUCAGGGACGAUAAUGACGGUACCUGAGGAGGAAGCCACGGCUAACUACGUGCCAGCAGCCGCGGUAAUACGUAGGUGGCGAGCGUUGUCCGGAUUUACUGGGCGUAAAGGGAGCGUAGGCGGAUUUUUAAGUGAGAUGUGAAAUACUCGGGCUUAACCUGAGUGCUGCAUUUCAAACUGGAAGUCUAGAGUGCAGGAGAGGAGAAGGGAAUUCCUAGUGUAGCGGUGAAAUGCGUAGAGAUUAGGAAGAACACCAGUGGCGAAAGCGCUUCUCUGGACUGUAACUGACGCUGAGGCUCGAAAGCGUGGGGAGCAACAGGAUUAGAUACCCUGGGUAGUCCACGCCGUAACGAUGAAUACUAGUGU
rnacentral:rRNA from 1 species